UCAGUGGUGAGCUACGAGAUUUGGGUCUCUCAACCCGAUCCCUCCGCUACCACCACAUAUCUUCAUUUUUUUUUCAUAAUUUUAGUUUCACUACAGAUGUUGCAGUGCAAACUUUUCAAAUCGAGUCAAAUAAAAUUCCAACCACCGUACUCAAACAAACUCAACAUGAUCAUGUGACAUUUAUUGCAAACAAAAGACACAUCAAAUUGUUGUUAAUUUUAAAGUUCACGUAAGAUUGUGAACUAACAGCAAAAGUAAAAAAAGAAAUCAAUGAUGUAAUUGAGAUAAAUUAAAGUCAAG
rnacentral:lncRNA from 1 species